UGGCCUCAAAUCAGGUAGCACUACCCGCUGAACUUAAGCAUAUCAAGAAGCGGAGGAGCUGCGAAC
rnacentral:rRNA from 1 species